rfam:Candidatus Melainabacteria bacterium RIFOXYA2_FTLL_32_9 rifoxya2_full_scaffold_926, whole genome shotgun sequence.
GGAGAAAUGGCUGAGUGGUUUAAAGCAGUUGUCUUGAAAACAACCGUACGUUAGUAGCGUACCGUGAGUUCAAAUCUCACUUUCUCCU